UUGAAACCUGCACCUAUACACCAUGAAACCCCCCAAAAUAUAUGUUCUAAUAAUAAUUUUGAGCAAAGAGUAUUAGUUUUGUGUUUCAGUAAAUGAGUUAUGGUAUUGUAUGAGUGAGUGUGUUGAGGCGAGGCGGAGUGAAUGAGUGUGUGCGUGUGUGAGGGAGCCCAGAGCAGCACCAACACCGUCACCACCACCACCACCACCAUGCUGCUCUACACGUCCCUCCUCUUCUCCCUCUCACUCCUUACUCUCACCACCGCCCAGGUCAGGAAAGGCAUAAAGUGUUGGUUCUGCAACAGCAUGUUGGACCCAUUCUGCAGCGAUCCAUUUGAUAACUCCACUGCUAACCC